rnacentral:rRNA from 1 species
GAUGAACGCUGGCGGCGUGCCUAAUACAUGCAAGUCGAGCGGACAGAUGAGGAGCUUGCGGGUCGCACGUGAGGGGCGGGGGGGUGAGUAACGUGUGGAUAACCUACCUAACAGACUGGGAACACUUCGGGAAAGCGGAGCAUAUACCGUAGAAUAUAUUGAACCGCGUGGGUCAAUGGUGAAAGACGGUUUUGGGGUCUGUUAUCGCGGGAUCCGCGCCGCAUUAGCUAGUUGGUAAGGUAACGGCUUACCAAGGCGACGAUGCGUGGCCGACCUGUGAGAGUGAUAGCCGACACUGGAGCUGAGACACGGUCCAGACGCCUACGGGACGCAGCAGUAGGGAAUCUUCCGCAAUGGGCGGAAGCCUGACGGAGCAACGCCGAGUCAGUGAUGAAGGCCCUCCGAGCGUAAAACUCUGUUAUUAGGGAAGAACAAAUGUGUAAGUAACUAUGCACGUCUUGACGGUACCUAAUCAGAAAGCCACGGCUAACUACGUG